CAGGAAGCCCGUGCGAAUCGGGCGCUGUCCCGCAACUGUGAGCGACCUUCGGGCCGCGAGCCAGGAACUG
rnacentral:ncRNA from 1 species